rnacentral:rRNA from 1 species
GAUGAACGCUGGCGGCGUGCUUAACACAUGCAAGUCGAACGAAACACCUUAUUUGAUUUUCUUCGGAACUGAAGAUUUGGUGAUUGAGUGGCGGACGGGUGAGUAACGCGUGGGUAACCUGCCCUGUACAGGGGGAUAACAGUCAGAAAUGACUGCUAAUACCGCAUAAGACCACAGCACCGCAUGGUGCAGGGGUAAAAACUCCGGUGGUACAGGAUGGACCCGCGUCUGAUUAGCUGGUUGGUGAGGUAACGGCUCACCAAGGCGACGAUCAGUAGCCGGCUUGAGAGGGUGAACGGCCACAUUGGGACUGAGACACGGCCCAAACUCCUACGGGAGGCAGCAGUGGGGAAUAUUGCACAAUGGGGGAAACCCUGAUGCAGCGACGCCGCGUGAGUGAAGAAGUAUCUCGGUAUGUAAAGCUCUAUCAGCAGGGAAGA